GCAAACUUGGUCAUUUAGAGGAAGUAAAAGUCGUAACAAGGUUUCCGUAGGUGAACCUGCGGAAGGAUCAUUAUCGAUAUGAUAACAAUCAUUAUAAACCAUGUGUGCAGUUAUUGAGAAAUUGAAAAGAAGGGGAAGUUUCCCCUCCCUUUAUUUUCACAUAUUAUAUUUGUCGUUGUAAUAUUUUAAAAUAAAAACGAAAAAAACUUUUAACAACGGAUCUCUUGGCUCUCGCAUCGAUGAAGAACGCAGC
rnacentral:misc_RNA from 1 species